rnacentral:lncRNA from 1 species
CAUGCAAAAAACAAGAUUGUUUGGUUUGUUUGUUACCUUGGUGAUUUUUGGUACAACAGAUCUUAGCUUGUAGAGUCUGUCAUUAAGCUUCUUGCGUCUCCUUCUCUCUGCCAUCAAAUUCUUUGCAGGUAAUUUACUAUCUGUCUUCAUCAGAAUCUGUCUUUGUUCCCCCCCAUUCACAGCAUUCUCCUCCAUUUUAAAAUCGAACAUCUCCUUGACAUCAUAGUUCAAUUCCAAGCCAUUGAGCUCAUCCUCCAGCAUGCUGUCAUUUCUCUCAAGCCAUAAGAGAGUCUCACUUUUCUCGACUAGCUCAGCAGUGGAGUUACAAUUUCUGGUGAAUUCUUCCAGCUGUGGAGGUUCUAAUUCUUCCAAUUGUGGUUUGCAGAUCAGUUCACCUACAUCACCGUCAUUCCAAUUGUUGUUCAAAAAAACAGGGGAUUGUAGCAGCGGGUUCUCAAUCAGACAGUCGGAUGGAUCGUAUCCAAAACAGUUAUAGUUGGGAUCAACCAAGCUUGAAACGAACGAAUCAGUGUU